rnacentral:tRNA from 1 species
GUCUGGGUAGCUUAAUUUAAAGCUUUACAUUGAAGCUGUAAAUAUGAUUUUUUAGAUCCUCAGAUA